CCUACGGGAGGCAGCAGUCGAGAAUCAUUCACAAUGGGGGAAACCCUGAUGGUGCGACGCCGCGUGGGGGAAUGAAGGUCUUCGGAUUGUAAACCCCUGUCAUGUGGGAGCAAAUUAAAAAGAUAGUACCACAAGAGGAAGAGACGGCUAACUCUGUGCCAGCAGCCGCGGGAAUACAGAGGUCUCAAGCGUUGUUCGGAAUCACUGGGCGUAAAGCGUGCGUAGGCUGUUUCGUGAGUCGUGUGUGAAAGGCGCGGGCUCAACCCGCGGACGGCACAUGAUACUGCGAGACUAGAGUAAUGGAGGGGGAACCGGAAUUCUCGGUGUAGCAGUGAAAUGCGUAGAUAUCGAGAGGAACACUCGUGGCGAAGGCGGGUUCCUGGACAUUAACUGACGCUGAGGCACGAAGGCCAGGGGAGCGAAAGGGAUUAGAUACCCCUGUAGUC
rnacentral:rRNA from 1 species